rnacentral:rRNA from 1 species
UACGAAGGUCCCAAGCGUUGUCCGGAAUUAUUGGGCGUAAAGGGCUCGUAGGCGGUCUGUCGCGUCGGGAGUGAAAACACGGGGCUUAACCCCGUGCCUGCUUCCGAUACGGGCAGACUAGAGGUAUGCAGGGGAGAACGGAAUUCCUGGUGUAGCGGUGAAAUGCGCAGAUAUCAGGAGGAACACCGAUGGCGAAGGCAGGUCUCUGGGCAUUAACUGACGCUGAGGAGCGAAAGCAUGGGGAGCGAACAGG